rnacentral:rRNA from 1 species
GUUGGUGGCUAUUGGACGGGUGUACACCUCUUCCCAUCCCGAACAGAGAAGUUAAGCCCCGUACCGCCGAUGAUACCUGGAUCAAACCCGGUAAAGUAGGUAGCCGCCACAA